ensembl:lncRNA
AAAAAAGUUCCCCAAAAACGUCGAUACUGUGUUGAAGACGAGCAGCUGCUGAACCCAGCUAUCAAAAGCGUAUUCUCCGUAGUGUAAAUGUAACCGACUGAGUAGGCAUAGUUAUAUAGCUCCUGUCACCCAAUGGCAGGCCUUCAAUGUGUUAAGGGAGACUUUGAGGUCAAGGUGGACUUGGCAAGUGACACAUUACGAGAUCUGAGACAGAAGCUCUCUGAUGAAAGUGGAAUCCCAGCACAUGUCCUCCAUUAUAA